rnacentral:rRNA from 1 species
AUUAGGAAUCUUGCGCAAUGGGCGAAAGCCUGACGCAGCGACGUCGCGUGGGGGAGGAAGGCUUUCGGGUUGUAAACCCCUUUUAUCGAGGAAGAAACAAAUGACGGUACUCGAUGAAUAAGCCCCGGCUAACUCCGUGCCAGCAGCCGCGGUAAUACGGAGGGGGCUAGCGUUGUCCGAAGUUACUGGGCGUAAAGCGCGCGUAGGCGGGUUGGUAAGUCCGCUGUGAAAGCCCGGAGCUUAACUCCGGAGGGUCGGUGGAUACUGCCAGUCUUGAAGGUGCUAGGGGGAGAUGGAAUUACCGGUGUAGCGGUGAAAUGCGUAGAUAUCGGUAGGAACACCAGUGGCGAAGGCGGUCUCCUGGGGCAUUCUUGACGCUGAGGCGCGAAAGCUGGGGGAGCAAACGG